rnacentral:lncRNA from 1 species
CUGGGGGUGAUGCCCUGAUUGCAGCUACUUCUAGCAGCAGUCUAUCUGCAUACAGCUUUAUUGUUCCACCUCUUUAGGGGCUGGCAGCAAGGAGGUGAUUGUGCCAAGAUCCACAUUGACUGAGGAUGUCAGAGUUAGGGAUGUUGCUGAUAGACAGGGUAUUCAACUGAUAGAGUUUAAGGGGAAAUGUUGUAUUUCCAGUAUAUAAAGUGGUCUAAACCUUUGCUCUGAAGAAAUGGGGCUCUGGGGGCUAUUAAACUUUAGUUGAGUUCAUGCACUGUUCUCCAAAGCUAGUGGCUGAACACAGCUGGGGGCUGUAAGUCAGCCCCACCCAUCCAGAGCAGUGGGUCACAUAAGGGCCCUUUGUGACCCAUCCCUGUGCCACCCGGGUAUGACAAACGCUGCUGCAGUGGCCCCACAGUGUCUGUCGGGACAGUGAUGGAACAGGGCAGGAGCACUUGGGUCUGGCUAGGAAAGCGGCCCAAGAUGUUUUCCACUGGCACCCCUCAUCCCACAGGAUGGAGGAGAGACCCCCCAGGUGCCCCAGGGUGGCCUGGGCAGAGAGUGUGGCUCCCCAGAGUCCUACAAGGCUGAGUCUAAUGACUACCAACUGGUCAACAAGCAAGCAUAGCAGCCAUUGUGUAGCCAUCCCUGCCUGACCCUCUCAAUGAACUGCAGCUAAAUGAAGACCCUUGGGGAAAUCUGCUGGAGGCAACAACAGCUGUAAAAGGGGAUGACUUUGAGUGGUGCCUUGUCAUUUAAUAGGAUUCCCUUUGCCUUGAGACUUACUUUUUGCCCCUGAAGCAAAGAUGUUCCCUCAGGAAGUGGAACUGGCUCCUUUUGCUUCUCUCAGUCAGAGUUGCUGUAAGGAAAUACAAAGCAAAUAGGGCUUGUUUCCUUUGAGCAUCUACAGAAUGGCAUA